UUAACACAUGCAAGUCGAACGAUGAAGCCCUUCGGGGUGGAUUAGUGGCGAACGGGUGAGUAACACGUGGGCAAUCUGCCCUGCACUCUGGGACAAGCCCUGGAAACGGGGUCUAAUACCGGAUAUGACCGUCUUGGGCAUCCUUGACGGUGUAAAGCUCCGGCGGUGCAGGAUGAGCCCGCGGCCUAUCAGCUUGUUGGUGAGGUAAUGGCUCACCAAGGCGACGACGGGUAGCCGGCCUGAGAGGGCGACCGGCCACACUGGGACUGAGACACGGCCCAGACUCCUACGGGAGGCAGCAGUGGGGAAUAUUGCACAAUGGGCGAAAGCCUGAUGCAGCGACGCCGCGUGAGGGAUGACGGCCUUCGGGUUGUAAACCUCUUUCAGCAGGGAAGAAGCGAGAGUGACGGUACCUGCAGAAGAAGCGCCGGCUAACUACGUGCCAGCAGCCGCGGUAAUACGUAGGGCGCAAGCGUUGUCCGGAAUUAUUGGGCGUAAAGAGCUCGUAGGCGGCUUGUCACGUCGGUUGUGAAAGCCCGGGGCUUAACCCCGGGUCUGCAGUCGAUACGGGCAGGCUAGAGUUCGGUAGGGGAGAUCGGAAUUCCUGGUGUAGCGGUGAAAUGCGCAGAUAUCAGGAGGAACACCGGUGGCGAAGGCGGAUCUCUGGGCCGAUACUGACGCUGAGGAGCGAAAGCGUGGGGAGCGAACAGGAUUAGAUACCCUGGUAGUCCACGCCGUAAACGGUGGGCACUAGGUG
rnacentral:rRNA from 1 species